rnacentral:rRNA from 1 species
AUGAUUGGGCACUUGCAUACAGAGCAUAGCAAAAACCCGACGUCAGCCUUGAUCUUCAUGGAAUUACGUGCUUAUUGGGGAGCUGGAGGAGGGAAUCGAGGUGCUGCACGUGUUGAUGAGAACCGUCGUCCUAAUGCAAAGAGUCUCAAGAGGAUGGCAUUGCUAUGGAGACAGAGGCAAAGAAGAACGACGAAAUGGAAACUGAGGUUGAUACAGAUCCGAACAGAAAGAGGGUUGGAGAGGAUUAACCAGGGACUGUGGCUCUUGGGACGCAACUGUUGCUACCAAGUAUCGGAACUGCUAUACCCACUAGCCCCCACCGAAACAUGA